CUGAUGAUGAUGACAAUUAUAUUCCUGGAUACAUAGUCCAUAAUGGACCAAUAUGAAAAUGUGCCCGAGUCUCAACGGCAUUCACUCGGUGAAUACGUGAAUGUACUAGAGCCAGCACCGAUCAUACUAGAUCCUUGUUUUGCAGUUGGCACUAGUGAUCGGGAAAGUGAAGAUGAUGUUCCAGACUACGAGAAUGUCUGUUUUGGACUUUGAGCUAUCCAGACCCCAGGAAGGGGAUUGGGGUUGAAAGGAGGAUUUGUAAGGAUCAGUUUUGCACUGGUGCAUCUAUUCAUCUUUGUGAAGGAUGGAUCACCACCAAGGACACCUUCUUCUGAACAUCUUCCAGUUUUGCCGUAACCUGUUUUUUUUCCCCUUGCACUUUGGAUGACAUAUCCUGAGAAUUUCUCCCAAUUAUCAGUAGCAGUAUUUUGAUGGACCUUUCCCAAAGCAAUUCAGUUUUGUGUUUAACUGUUGUUGACUAAUAAAGAACCA